GGGCCCGUAGCUCAACGGUCAGAGCAGAGGACUCAUAAUCCUUUGGUUGUAGGUUCGAAUCCUACCGGGCCCACCA
rnacentral:tRNA from 1 species